rnacentral:rRNA from 1 species
AUACGGAGGAUGCGAGCGUUAUCCGGAUUUAUUGGGUUUAAAGGGAGCGUAGGCGGGAGCUUAAGUCAGCGGUUAAAUGGUGCGGCUCAACCGUGCCCUGCCGUUGAAACUGGGUUUCUUGAGAGUGCAAGAGGCGGAUGGAAUUCAUGGUGUAGCGGUGAAAUGCUUAGAUAUCAUGAAGAACCCCGAUUGCGAAGGCAGUCCGCUGGGGCACGUCUGACGCUGAUGCUCGAAGGUGCGGGAAUCAAACAGGAUUAGAUACCCUGGUAGUCCGCACGGUAAACGAUGAUUACCCGCUGUCGGCGGCAGACAGUCGGCGGCCAAGCGAAAGCGAUAAGUAAUCCACCUGGGGAGUACGCCGGCAACGGUGAAACUCAAAGGAAUUGACGGGG